rnacentral:rRNA from 1 species
AUAUUGGUCAAUGGGCGGAAGCCUGAACCAGCCAAGUCGCGUGAGGGAAGAAGGCCCUGCGGGUCGCAGACCUCUUUGGACGGGGAGCAAGGCCGCCGACGUGUCGGCGGAAGGAGAGUACCCGUAGAACAAGCAUCGGCUAACUCCGUGCCAGCAGCCGCGGUAAUACGGAGGAUGCGAGCGUUAUCCGGAUUUAUUGGGUUUAAAGGGUGCGCAGGCGGCACGGCAAGCCGGCGGUCAAAUCGCGGGGCUCAACCCCGCCCAGCCGUCGGAACUGCCGGGCUAGAGUGGGCGAGAAGUGCGCGGAAUGCGUGGUGUAGCGGUGAAAUGCAUAGAUAUCACGAAGAACGCCGAUUGCGAAGGCAGCCUACUGGCGGCCCACUGACGCUCAGGCACGAAAGCGUGGGGAUCAAACAGG